UACGAAGGGGGCUAGCGUUGCUCGGAAUUACUGGGCGUAAAGGGUGCGCAGGCGGAUAUUUAAGUCAGGGGUGAAAUCCCAGAGCUCAACUCCAGAACUGCCUUUGAUACUGGCGAUCUCGAGUCCGGGAGAGGUGAGUGGAACUGCGAGUGUAGAGGUGAAAUUCGUAGAUAUUCGCAAGAACACCAGUGGCGAAGGCGGCUCACUGGCCCGGUACUGACGCUGAGGUGCGAAAGCGUGGGGAGCAAACAGG
rnacentral:rRNA from 1 species